UUCCGGUUGAUCCUGCCGGAGGCCAUUGCUAUCGGAGUCCGAUUUAGCCAUGCUAGUUGCACGGGUUUAGACCCGUAGCAUAUAGCUCAGUAACACGUGGCCAAACUACCCUACAGACCGCGAUAACCUCGGGAAACUGAGGCCAAUAGCGGAUACAGCUCUCAUGCUGGAGUGCCGAGAGCUGGAAACGUUCCGGCGCUGUAGGAUGUGGCUGCGGCCGAUUAGGUAGAUGGUGGGGUAACGGCCCACCAUGCCCAUAAUCGGUACAGGUUGUGAGAGCAAGAGCCUGGAGACGGUAUCUGAGACAAGAUACCGGGCCCUACGGGGCGCAGCAGGCGCGAAACCUUUACACUGCACGACAGUGCGAUAAGGGGACUCCGAGUGCGAGGGCAUAUAGUCCUCGCUUUUCUGUACCGUAGGGAGGUACAGGAACAAGUGCUGGGCAAGACCGGUGCCAGCCGCCGCGGUAAUACCGGCAGCACGAGUGAUGGCCGAUUUUAUUGGGCCUAAAGCGUCCGUAGCCGGCCGGACAAGUCCGUUGGGAAAUCGACGCGCUCAACGCGUCGGCGUCCAGCGGAAACUGUUCGGCUUGGGGCCGGAAGACCUGGGGGGUACGUCCGGGGUAGGAGUGAAAUCCUGUAAUCCUGGACGGACCACCAAUGGCGAAAGCACCUCAGGAAGACGGACCCGACGGUGAGGGACGAAAGCUAGGGUCUCGAACCGGAUUAGAUACCCGGGUAGUCCUAGCUGUAAACGAUGCUCGCUAGGUGUGCCGCAGGCUACGAGCCUGCGCUGCGCCCUAGGGAAGCCGAGAAGCGAGCCGCCUGGGAAGUACGUCUGCAAGGAUGAAACUUAAAGGAAUUGGCGGGGGAGCACCACAACCGGAGGAGCCUGCGGUUUAAUUGGACUCAACGCCGGA
rnacentral:rRNA from 1 species